UACGGGGGGAGCAAGCGUUGUUCGGAAUUACUGGGCGUAAAGCGUGCGCAGGCGGUUUCGUAAGUCUGUCGUGAAAUCCCCGGGCUUAACCUGGGAAUGGCGAUGGAGACUGCGAGGCUAGAGUUUGGCAGAGGGGGGUAGAAUUCCACGUGUAGCAGUGAAAUGCGUAGAGAUGUGGAGGAACACCGAUGGCGAAGGCAGCCCCCUGGGUCAAAACUGACGCUCAUGCACGAAAGCGUGGGGAGCAAACAGG
rnacentral:rRNA from 1 species